rnacentral:lncRNA from 1 species
AUUCUGUCUCAAAUCUCAUUAGAUCUGAAAGAUCCUACAAGGAAAAAGCCAAUUUUUCCUUCAAGGACAACCUAGGAUUUAACUGUCAAUCCUAGCUAAGCCAUCCAUAUUGUAUUUCAAUCUUUUAAAUUCAUCACAUAAAUUAUUCGAGCUCAGGCUUUGUCAAAUUAAAAUAUAUUGAUACAUUAACUCCUACUAAUUCGGAGGGAUCAAUCCCAUC